rnacentral:rRNA from 1 species
UACAGAGGGUGCGAGCGUUAAUCGGAAUUACUGGGCGUAAAGCGCACGUAGGCGGCUUGGUAUGUCGGGUGUGAAAUCCCCGGGCUCAACCUGGGAACUGCAUCCGAAACUGCCUUGCUAGAGUAUGGGAGAGGGAAGUGGAAUUUCCGGUGUAGCGGUGAAAUGCGUAGAUAUCGGAAGGAACAUCAGUGGCAAAGGCGACUUCCUGGACCAAUACUGACGCUCAGGUGCGAAAGCGUGGAGAGCAAACAGG